AUUGAACGCUGGCGGCAGGCCUAACACAUGCAAGUCGAACGAGUGGCGGACGGGUGAGUAAUGUCUGGGAAACUGCCCGAUGGAGGGGGAUAACUACUGGAAACGGUAGCUAAUACCGCAUACCAUCGGAUGUGCCCAGAUGGGAUUUGCUAGUAGGUGGGGUAACGGCUCCCCUAGGCGACGAUCCCUAGCUGGUCUAGGAGGAUGACCAGCCACACUGGAACUGAGACACGGGCCAGAUUCCUACGGGAGGCAGCAGGGGGGAAUAUUGAACAAUGGGCGAAAGCCUGAUGCAGCCAUGCCGGGUGUAUGAAGAAGGCCUUCGGGUUGUAAAGUACUUUCAGCGGGGAGGCGUUACCAGCAGAAGAAGCACCGGCUAAGUCCGUGCCAGCAGCCGCGGUAAUUC
rnacentral:rRNA from 1 species